rnacentral:rRNA from 1 species
AAACUUAAAUGAAUUGACGGGUCCCGCACAAGCAGCGGAGCGUGUGGUUUAAUUCGAUGCUACACGAAGAACCUUACCUGGGUUUGACAUAGAGGUAGUAGGGAAGCGAAAGCGGACCGACCCUUCGGGGAGCCUCUACAGGUGUUGCAUGGCUGUCGUCAGCUCGUGUCGUGAGAUGUUCGGUUAAGUCCGCUAACGAGCGCAACCCUCGCUGUGUGUUACAAGUGUCACACGGUACUGCCGAUAUUAAGUCGGAGGAAGGUGGGGAUGACGUCAAGUCAGCAUGACCUUUAUAUCCAGGGCUACACACACGCUACAAUGGCCAGUACAAUGGGUUGCCAAGCCGCGAGGCGGAGCCAAUCCUAAAAAGCUGGCCUCAGUUCAGAUUGCAGUCUGCAACUCGACUGCAUGAAGUUGGAGUUGCUAGUAACCGCAGGUCAGCAAUACUGCGGUGAAUACGUUCCCGGGGAUU